UUGAACGCUGGCGGCAUGCCUUACACAUGCAAGUCGAACGGUAGAGGGGCAACCCUUGAGAGUGGCGAACGGGUGAGUAAUGCAUCGGAACGUGCCCAGUCGUGGGGGAUAACGCAGCGAAAGCUGUGCUAAUACCGCAUGUGAUCUGUGGAUGAAAGCAGGGGACCGCAAGGCCUUGUGCGAUUGGAGCGGCCGAUGUCAGAUUAGCUAGUUGGUAGGGUAA
rnacentral:rRNA from 1 species